GGGUUGCAAAAGAAGUAGGUAGCUUAACCUUCGGGGGGGCGCUUACCACUUUGUGAUUCAUGACUGGGGUGAAGUCGUAACAAGGUAACCGUAGGGGAACCUGCGGUUGGAUCACCUCCUUACC
rnacentral:rRNA from 1 species